rnacentral:rRNA from 1 species
UACGUAGGGUCCGAGCGUUGUCCGGAAUUAUUGGGCGUAAAGAGCUCGUAGGCGGUUUGUCGCGUCUGCUGUGAGAUCCCGAGGCUCAACCUCGGGUCUGCAGUGGGUAUGGGCAGACUGGAGUGCGGUAGGGGAGAAUGGAAUUCCUGGUGUAGCGGUGGAAUGCGCAGAUAUCAGGAGGAACACCGAUGGCGAAGGCAGUUCUCUGGGCCGUAACUGACGCUGAGGAGCGAAAGCGUGGGGAGCGAACAGG